UUUUACCCCUUUUAGUUUGGCCAAAAUUGAUCAAAUUUUGACUUCCUCGGUCAAUUAACGGUCAAACAAACGAUUUUUAUCCAUUUGGACCUCAGGUGCAUAUCUUUUAAAGGUUUGAGACUGUAGGUGGCACAAAUUAAAAGUUUAUGGUAAAAGUCUGCAAAAAUAUGAAAGGUUAGGGAUUGCUGUUGCAAUUUUUCCUAAUUUAUACUUCGUGAUUCGAC
rnacentral:lncRNA from 1 species